rnacentral:lncRNA from 1 species
UCUCUGGGGUGAGAUAGAACACUCAGGGCUUGACCUCUUCUGGCCAUUAAAGACCUUUGAGUCCGCGCCUGUCUCUUUGUUUCCUACAAGAGUAGUGGUAGUAUUAAUUCUGUGGCUGGCUAAAUUCUAACUGGGGUAAUUAUACUGUCACCCUAUAUUCCCCUGGAGAUUCGGUUAGAAAAGUUACUCUUUGAUCAUGCUCUUAAAUCCUACCGCGCUGGGCUCUGUAGCAUGGCAGGUGAAGAAUGGCUAUUGGAUUCUGCACGCCUCCCUCUGCUGCGUGAGUGAUGCUAAUUCUAUGUCAGAAAACGAACUACAUCAUGGACAGCUGUCUCCUUUGGGGAGGGGGAAGAAAACAAGGUUGGUAUCCUUCUCCCUGGCUCUGCCGCGCAGUUUUCACAGUCCUGCUCUCUCACCCCACUUUCUGAAGAAAUAAGUGGGUCAGCUUUUCAGAGGCUACGACGCAGUCAAGUUGACCCGCAGAAUCUGUUCGAUUAGGUCAACCUGAAACUGAAGAGACAGAUGAAAUGAUUUGGAACCAAGUAUCAUUUCAGCUCUGGAGCAUAUUGACAUCUGUUACAACAUCUUAUUAAACAUCAAACUCCACAUGGCACACGAAGGAACGCAAGGAAAGAAAAGGACUACAAAGUGAAAAACCUUUUGGAUUUUGUCACAAGUGGAUAACAUUUAAAACAAACCAGCUGAUGUCAUGUUUGUAUACAGAGAAAAUAAAGAUAUCAAAAUGUAGCAGACAAUCUAAUACCUUAUUUGGCAAUUUUUUUCAAAAGUCGCUCUCAUUCUUAAUUGUCAGGUAUGUAGUCCUGUUUUUAGCACAUACAGUUGGUCUGCCUCCUAUAGGAAAUGAC